GCUUAACAUAAUUCACAACUAUCAUCCUAAUGAUAGAUAAAUUUACUUAAAUAGUUUAAAAUAAAUUUAUAUAAAAACCGCAUGGAUUCAUUUGCAUUAUGUCCACGCAACUGCCUCUUGUUUGUACAGCUCUAGAGUCGGCUCUUACAUCGUCCGUUUCAGCUUUUUGCCCAGAGAUAGGUAAUGAAAUUUCUGGUAGAUCUCAUGCCUAUUCAUGAAUCAGAAAUGAUGCAAACCGGAGAAAAAUUAAAAGUUUGUAAAAUGGAGACAAUGUAAGGCUGUUUGAAUGCUUGCAGAGUAAUGGGAAUUGCAGAGGGAAGAUAUCAACUUAAUACAGGAGCCCUGAUUCCCCUAAUUGGGUUGGGGACUGCAACCAGUAAUCUCAAUGAGGAGGAGAUUAAAGCAGCCGUGACUACUGCUCUCCAGGUGGGUUAUAGACACUUUGACACAGCAAGCUUUUACCGCACAGAGUGCUCACGCACUAGGAGAAGCUCUGAAUUCAGCUUUCCAGAGUGGGAUCGUCAGCAGAGAAGAUGUUUUUGUUACUACUAAAUUAGCAAACACUGAACACGAUGACCCAGUUGCUGCAAUCAACAAUAGUUUGAAGAAUUUACAACUGGAGUAUGUGGAUCUGUAUCUUAUCCACUGGCCUGUCAAGAUGAGAGAAACAAGUACAUUAUCCCAGCCAAAAGAAGAAGACUUUUUGCCAUUAGAUAUAAAGUCUACUUGGUAGGGAAUGGAGCAGUGCAUGAAGAUGGGGCUUAGCAAAGCCAUUGGGGUCAGUAACUUUUCCUCUAAAAAAGUAGAAGACCUACUGAGCUAUGCCAAAAUCCCUCCUGUUGUUGAUCAGGUAAUGAGUUACAGUUUCUGUUUUGAAAGCUUGCUUUCCAUCUGACCCAAUGGCUAUGUGUUCUUUCUUUUAUUUUUUUUGUAUACAUGUUCUAAAGCAUCCAAGGCACAAACAUUACUCUUAUGGUAAUCUUUUGCAGCAAAAUGGUUUUAGUGUGUGAUGAUUAUGGUAUGCAAUGACAAUCACAUGUGGAGAUGCAUCCAAUGUGGCAGCAAAACAGGUUGAUAGAAUAUUGCAGCAAGCAUAAGAUUCAUGUGAGUGCAUGGUCUCCUCUGGGAGCUCCAAAUAAUCCAUGGGGUUCUAAUGCGGUGAUGGAUAACCCCCUUAUCCAAGAAAUUGCCCAAAAGCAUGGAAAGACUAGAGCUCAGGUUAUUUUAAGAUGGGGAAUAGAGCAUGGAGUGAGUGUGCUGCCCAAGAGUUUCAAUCCAGGCAGAAUUGCUGAAAACUUUCAAAUCUUUGAUUGGUCUCUGAGUGUGGAUGAUCAUGACAAGAUUAGCAAGCUUGAACAGUGUAAGAUACUCCCAGGGCAUCAAUUUGUUAAUAGCACAACCAGUCCCUACAAGACUGUUGAAGAAUUAUGGGAUGGAGAGAUUUAAUAUAGUCACAACUACUUAUAUUACUAGUAUAUCUAUAUUUAAAAAAUAUAGAUAAAUUAUGUGGAGAGAUAUCUUGUAAUAGAAGGAAUCUGAUAAUUGCAACAAUAUUAGUAGUAUACAAGAGUUUAAAAAAUAUGGAUAAUAAUAGAGUUGAUUGUUCCCUUUUAAAUAUUAUGGCACUCUUCCACUAUCAUUUGAAUGUAAUGGUUUCAUAUAGU